GUGUCAGCAGCCGCGGUAAUACGGAGGGUGCAAGCGUUAUCCGGAUUUACUGGGUUUAAAGGGAGCGCAGGCGGAUUGGUAAGUCAGUGGUGAAAUACCCGUGCUUAACAUGGGAACUGCCAUUGAUACUAUCAGUCUUGAAUAUCGUUGAGGUUUGCGGAAUGGGUCAUGUAGCGGUGAAAUGCAUAGAUAUGACCCGGAACACCUAUUGCGAAGGCAGCAGGCUAAACGAAGAUUGACGCUGAGGCUCGAAAGCGUGGGGAUCAAACAGGAUUAGAUACCCCUGUAGUCC
rnacentral:rRNA from 1 species